UGNUAAAGAGUUUGAUCAUGGCUCNCCAGCGAACUNGCUGGCGGCAAGUGCCUAACACAAUGCAAAGUCGAGCGCCGUAGCAAAUACGGACGCCGGCAGACGGGACGACGUAACACCGUGGGAACGUGCCCAUUCAGAUUCGGAACAACCCAGGGAAACUUGAGGCUACAUACCAGGAUACGUCACGCUAAAGUGAUGAAACGAUUUAUCUGACAUCGAACGUGAUCAUGUGCCCGCAGAUACAUUGAUAUAGCUAAGUUAGGUGGGCGUAACCGUGACCACCAAGUGNCGACAGAUCAGUAUCGCCUUGGUCUAGAAGAGGAUGAUACAGCCACUCACAUGGUGACUGAUGACACGGCACCAGAACUUCCACUUACGG
rnacentral:rRNA from 1 species